CUCCGUGUAUCUUUGGGACCUGUCUGCUGUGGCUGUGUCCCUUCCUAGCCACGCAAGAGCAUACUCUUGGUUUUGGCAAAGCUGUCACCAAUUAGUUGGUAUUGGAUUCUGAUCUGCACAGGUAACAUUC